rnacentral:misc_RNA from 1 species
GAUGAAGAACGUAGCGAAAUGCGAUAAGUAGUGUGAAUUGCAGAAUUCAGUGAAUCAUCGAAUCUUUGAACGCACAUUGCGCCCCAUGGUAUCCCGAGGGGCAUGCCUGUUCGAGCGUCAUUUCACCACUCAAGCCUGGCUUGGUGUUGGGCGACGUCCUCUUUGGGGACGCGCCUCGAAACGCUCGGCGGCGUGGCACCGGCUUUAAGCGUAGCAGAAUCUUUCGCUUUGGAAGUCGGGGCCCCGUCUGCCGGAAGACCUGCUCGCAAGGUUGACCUCGGAUCAGGCAGGGAUACCCGCUGAACUUAAGCAUAUCAAUAAGCGGAGGA